rnacentral:lncRNA from 10 species
UGGGGGGUAGCAGGAAAAACUAGCCCACAGCCAGAGAUGGUACCAUAAGGAGGGUUGGAGCGGGCCUCUCAAAGCAAGCCUAGCAGUGUACCCAAGCUACAUGUAGACGAUGGGCCACCCGAGAUGUUAGCAGCAUCCUGAGGGGGUGUCGGCCUCUGUCUUGGAGGGUGCUGGCUUAAGGGUUGAGCCUCAGACUGCAGGGUGUGUUUGGGAAGCAGCUGCCCACAGCUCUGGUCAUUAAAGAAGAGAGCGAGCUGGUUCUUCUGGCCCCAGCAAUAACAACAAAACAACCUGGAGUAUGGUCCCUGCAGCCCUUCCCAGACACAGAGUUCUCAUUCUCCAAACGUGGACAUCCGGAGGGACACACGGCCUUACGUGGCCACCAGCAGGCCAUGGACGGACAUUGCCCAGCCCACGUUGCUGCCACAGGUGGACACUCAGAGCGAGAGAGAGGGAAGUUGGGGUGCUGGUGGGAAUGGGUGUGGACUGGAAUGUUCUAGAGAACUGCCCUGGCAACAUGCAAGUACAGUUCUAGCAGAGACGCCAAAUCAACUGUCAAAACCGAGCCACUGCCACCCCACAAAGCCAGGAAAAGCUUCUAACUGACAAUCUUGGGUAAGUCGGCCCUCAGCCUCUGCAUCUCCCACCACAGACCAAGGCUCCCAGAUCCCCCCAGCCCAUGCACUCCAUGUGGUCCCCUCUGUGUGCCUGGAUACAUCGGGACUCUUGGGUGUCACUGGGGAUUCCUGCCCUGCCACAUGGGGUAAGCUACUGGUAAUUACUCAGCUGUGGGAGCUCCUGGUCAUCAGCCUUCAAACACAGAAACUCAGGUAUUUUUCCCAGCAGACCCUGACCAGCCUCUGUAUUUCUCCAUAACGCUGGUCGGCUGGGCACAGCGAUCUUGGCAACAGAUUUUGCGAAAUAAACUUGGUCAGUGGAUCCCAGUCAACAAAAUGUUUUUCCAUCUGUUACCCACUUCCUCCUGCCUGUGAAGGGGCAGUGCUCUCUCCUUCUUAUAGGUGAGGCUCUGAGAGGUGGAGUGAGUGACUUGCCCAGGGACUCAAAGCCAGGAUAUGAGGAACUGGGAUGUAAGCCCAAGCCUUUGACCAGGAAGGUGACCUCACUCACUCACUUGCCUUCCCUGAUCGUCAGAGGCCUGGACAGAAGCCUUCUGUCUCCCAGAGGGGCUAGUCCCACUGACUCUCCUGACCUGCUCCCAUCCCACUAGGGACACUGUCCAGGGGAGGGAGCACACCCCAUGUGGGGCUUGGUGUGAAGUCUGCUGGGUGGCUUUGUCACAUUGCAGAUGGUGCCAGAUGAGCCGGGCCCCGCCCAGGAAGCCAGACUGCCAGGGAGUUCAGACUCAGCCAACAAACAGACCCACAGGGCCUCCUGUGCCCCAGGCUGGGUGCUGAGUUACAGCCGUGCACACGGUGGACGUGAUCCCUGCCCUACAGAGCUCACUCUCUGGUGGGAAAGAGUCAGAACUAAUUCAAGGAGGAGGUGUAUGGCCACAUCCUGUGAUCAGCGUCCCUGGCAUCUAGUGCUGUGCUAUUCUGAUGCCCACUCAAGUGGGGAAAGCUGAGGUCAGGAGCUGGUCAUUCCCAUGCCCAAGGCCCCAGAGUCAGUUAAGUGGCAGAGCCAGGAUUCAAACCCUGGUCUGCCACACUCCAGAGCCCUCACUCGGUUUGAGCAGGCAGAAGAGGGGUGGGAGAACAUUCUAGGCAAAGGGCUCAGCUUGAGCCAAGCCCCAGGGGCUGCUCUGUCCCUUAUCUGGAGCCCGCUGCCUCCACUGCUUGUCCCACUUACCCUUGCCGGGGAUGCUGCAAACUGACAGACACACCCAUUUUGCCAGUGAGUUCCCACAGCAUUUUAAAGGACUUCUUCAGGACCCUAGAGCCCUGGUCUCCCCAAGGCUGCAGAGCAGCAGCUGCCCCCCAGGCACAGAGCUGAAAGGCAGAGCUGGAUUUCAGGGUGUGCUGAGUAAAGGGCCGAUCUACCCUGCACUUUGGAAGCUCACCGGGUAGAGGGAGGCCAGAGGAAUUUCAGGGACUCCACGACUUCCUUAGCUUAUCAUUCAUGUCCCAACAGGCUGCAGCCUGUCUCCCUACCAGCUAAGGCAGAGUUGCAAGUGGGACAGAAUCAGUGCCCACUCCAAACAUGGCUCCUUGGCUGCAUCUGGGAACGGGUUCCAUUAGGUGGUGUGUGGAGGGUCUCAAACAUCUUAACAGUGAUGGUGAAUGCGCCAGUGCCUCUGCAGCAGGGGCCAGAGUUCCUGUCUCCCCUCCUGGUUUGCUAUCACAGGGGCCCCUGGUGAAUAGGCUGGGUGGCUCAUCCCAGCGAGUGUUCAAACUCAAAAGCUGGAUGGCUAGAAACUGCCCACCUGCACCAAACCACCAUCAGAAGUGGUCUUUAUCAGCCAGGGCAACAGAAGCCAGCUCUGCCUCACUUAGAAAAGAAAUGUAUUGGGCAGUAUUGAGGGCUGGAAGCCCAGGCCACAAGCAGAAUGGGAGCCAGGGCAGUUCAGGGGACCUGUGCAGUUCAGCCUGAAGCUGGGUCUCUUUAGGAUGCUGUGGGCGUGAAUGAACCAGCUCCAGCCAGCAACCCAUCCUCGCUCAGUGCAUGCAGGGGUCUUUAGGGAAAUUCAGAGAAAAUUCAGGGAUUGAAGUAGACUGGGCAAGGCACUGAUGUCAUUCAUUCUUUCAUACUCAUUUCAAUAAAUAUUUUUGGGCACCUGCUGUGUGCACAGCCUGUUCUAGGCACUGGGAUUCAAUCUCAUUUUGUUGUUCUUGAGACUGAGUCUCAUUCUGUUGCCCAGGCUGGCAAUGUGGCACGAUCUCGGCUCGCUGCAACUUCUGCCUCCUGGGCUCAGGUGAUCCUCCCACCUCAGCCUCCCGAGUGGCUGGAACUACAGGUGCACGCCACCACACCUGGCUAAUUUUUGUAUUUUUUGUAAAGACAGAGUUUUGCAAUGUUGCUCAGGCUGGUGUUGAACUCCUGGGCUCAAGCGAUCCUCCUGCCUCAGCCUCCCAAACUGCUGGGAUUACAGGUGUGAGACACCACACCCAGCCGGAUUCAGAGUAUUUUGAGAGAGACAGACACCAAAGGAGAAACCAAUAAGAUAAUUUCUGGUGUGUUGAAAAUGAGACAAAGAGCCCCAUGGAGAUUGUAUCCCAUGGGAAGAAGUAAAUCCUCAAAAAGAAAUUGAAGCAAUUGGAUGGUGGGUCCCCAAACAGCAAAUAUCCACAAGAGGCGUCCUGCCCACACUGGCCCCAGGGCAGUGAUCAGGAUUCAGAUUCCAGAACUAGACUAGAAUUCAAAUCUAGCCUCAGCCACUUUCUCAUCACGACCUGGAGCAAGUCACUUCGUCUUUCCAAGCUUGCAAAAUUGGGAUGAUCACUCUUCCCUGGUUGCUGAGAUCAAACAAGGUCAUACAUGCAGUGCCGGCCAUGCAGGCAUCAUCGAGUUCCAUCCUGAGAACUCGAUCACGUCCUGGGUGCAUGUGCGCGUACGCGCGCACACACAUGUACACACGCACACGCAUGCAUGCAUGCACGGUGGGGCACCCAAGCCGAUGCCCGCUCCUCGAGGCUGGGGGCUAUGCAUGCCUGACCCUCUGGUGUAUUCAAUUAUAGGUUUAGCCACAUUCAUUCCUCCCUCCUUGUAGGUAAGAUUUAUUAAAAUACCCAAUCACAGAAAUAGCCCUGCUCCCUGACAGCAGCCAACCCACAGCGAAACCACGUUUCCUUGAACCCUCCCCCAAACCCCAACACACGCCAAAACCCUAUAAUAAGUCCUUGCACAGACCCUCUUCCUGAGGCACCCCAGGUUCCCCACGGUGCGCGUGCUCCCUUAUUGCAACAAGACAAUAAAU